UGUCACAUGAACACCCAGUGUUAAAGGCUUGGUUAAAGCUGCCCCGUGAUCCUGUGGAACUCCUCAUGUUCUUCCAGGCUCAGCUUCCCACUUCCUUAUCCAUUCCCAGUCUGCAGACUUCUCAUUGCUGACCAGCUCAUUUACCUGCUGUGACUACAAAUAUUCCUCUGCCCGUUGGAGAAGGUGUUGGGAGAUGCCAGGCGUGAGAGGACUGUCAGGAAGAGGCUCCUCCCCUGGUUAAAUGGAUCAGAAACUCCUGGGACAGGGAAUGCCAGCACAGUCUGGUUUGCAAACAUGACAGGCCUUGCUGCUGCUCUCAUCUGCAUGUGAUGAUCCAGGGCAAGACUUGAGGGAAUCCAGGGAAGACUGUGCUGGAAUAACUUCCAUCUUCUCCUCCUCACACACCAGAAACCUGAUCCUCUGACAG